rnacentral:rRNA from 1 species
AUGGGGGCAGCGUGCGCCUGGGCAAGGGCAUCUCUCUCUGUCUUUGGCUGGGCAGGGGCACAGAAGCGGCUGAGGUACAAGCUCCUCCCUCCAUACAUUCCUCUGUCUUUGGUCCAGUUAUUUUGCCGCAUCAAUUUUGUAUUACAAAGUUUGUUAAGAGAUGAACUGGGAGUGAAGGAGUUUGUUGUGGAUGACUCCGUUAUUUGCCCCUUCAGUACUCUGUUGGUAGACGCUGUUUAUGUAGAUUUAAUAUUUUUUAUAGUACUGAGUUAUGUUAGAUUUAAUUUUUAUUACAGUACUAAGUUCUGUUGGCAGCCUGCAGCUUCUUUGUCAAAAAAUGUGAAAAUAACUUGGUUCUCUCGAAAGUGA